UGGGGAAUAUUGCACAAUGGAGGGAACUCUGAUGCAGCGACGCCGCGUGAACGAAGAAGGCUUUCGAGUCGUAAAGUUCUUUUAUAUGGGAAGAUAAUGACGGUACCAUAAGAAAAAGCCCCGGCUAACUACGUGCCAGCGGCCGCGGUAAUACGUAGGGGGCUAGCGUUGUCCGGAAUCACUGGGCGUAAAGGGUUCGCAGGCGGAAAUGCAAGUCAGGUGUAAAAGGCAGUAGCUUAACUACUGUAAGCAUUUGAAACUGUAUAUCUUGAGAAGAGUAGAGGUAAGUGGAAUUUUUAGUGUAGCGGUGAAAUGCGUAGAUAUUAAAAAGAAUACCGGUGGCGAAGGCGACUUACUGGGCUCAUUCUGACGCUGAGGAACGAAAGCGUGGGUAGCAAACAGG
rnacentral:rRNA from 1 species